UACGAAGGGGGCUAGCGUUGCUCGGAAUCACUGGGCGUAAAGCGCACGUAGGCGGAUUGUUAAGUCAGGGGUGAAAUCCUGGAGCUCAACUCCAGAACUGCCUUUGAUACUGAAGAUCUUGAGUUCGGGAGAGGUGAGUGGAACUGCGAGUGUAGAGGUGAAAUUCGUAGAUAUUCGCAAGAACACCAGUGGCGAAGGCGGCUCACUGGCCCGAUACUGACGCUGAGGCACGAAAGCGUGGGGAGCCAAACAGG
rnacentral:rRNA from 1 species